GCCCUUGUAGCAAUACGAGGGUAUCCUAGUGGCGAACGGGUGAGUAACGCGUUGGUGACCUGCCCCAAAGUGUGGGAUAACAGAUCGAAAGAUCUGCUAAUACCGCAUGUGGUCAUCGGGUUUAGAAGCCGAUGUCUAAAGCAGCAAUGCGCUUUGGGAGGGACCUGCGUCCCAUCAGCUAGUUGGUGAGGUAACGGCUCACCAAGGCGACGACGGGUAGGGAACCUGAGAGGGUGGCCCCCCACAAUGGAACUGAAACACGGUCCAUACACCUACGGGUGGCAGCAGUAGGGAAUAUUGCACAAUGGGCGAAAGCCUGAUGCAGCAACGCCGCGUGCGCGAAGAAGGUCUUCGGAUCGUAAAGCGCUUUUCUGGGAGAUGAGAAAGGACAGUAUCCCAGGAAUAAGUCUCGGCUAACUACGUGCCAGCAGCCGCGGUAAAACGUAGGAGGCAAGCGUUAUCCGGAUUCACUGGGCGUAAAGCGCGUGCAGGCGGUUCGGUAAGUUGGGCGUGAAAUCUCCCGGCUCAACUGGGAGAGGUCGUCCAAUACUACCGGACUAGAGAACGAUAGAGGAAGAUGGAAUUCCCGGUGUAGUGGUGAAAUGCGUAGAUAUCGGGAGGAACACCAGUGGCGAAAGCGAUCUUCUGGAUCGUUUCUGACGCUCAGACGCGAAAGCUAGGGUAGCAAACGGGAUUAGAGACCCCGGUAGUCCUAGCCGUAAACGAUGCGAACUUGGCGUUGGUGGCUUAAACUCCAUCAGUGCCGCAGCUAACGCGAUAAGUUCACCGCCUGGGGACUACGGCCGCAAGGUUAAAACUCAAAGGAAUUGACGGGGGCCGGCACAAGCAGCGGA
rnacentral:rRNA from 1 species